AGCAGAUCUUCGGAUCUGUGGAAAGUGGCGAACGGGUGCGUAACACGUGAGCAACCUGCCCUAAAGUUUGGAAUAGCCUGUCGAAAGAUGGAUUAAUGCCGAAUGUGGCUCUUUUUCGCAUGAAAAAGUAGCUGAAGCUUGUAAUGGCGCUUUAGGAUGGGCUCGCGGCCUAUCAGCUUGUUGGUAAGGUAAUGGCUUACCAAGGCUAAGACGGGUAGCUGGUCUGAGAGGAUGAUCAGCCACACCGGGACUGAGACACGGCCCGGACACCUACGGGUGGCAGCAGUUUCGAAUCAUUCACAAUGGGCGAAAGCCUGAUGAUGCAAUGCCGCGUGGAGGAUGAAGGCCCUAGGGUCGUAAACUCCUGUCAUUGGGGAGCAACAAGUAAGUUCAUAGCUUACCAUGAGUUAACCCAAAGAGGAAGAGGUGGCUAACUCCGUGCCAGCAGCCGCGGUAAU
rnacentral:rRNA from 1 species